AAAUCGUUAUUGUUUGAAGCAAAGAAGCAUCUAGGGGAGUGCACAUGUGGUUAUUGGGGCUGUUCUUGCCAUGUCAGAUAAAUUGUUUCCUAUGUUUGUUGUCGUGCUAUUGUUUGUACUUGUUUGUUAUUCAGGGCUUAAAUCCUAUGCCCCAUAAUGCAUAUGAUUCUUUGUACCGUUUGUGCAAAUGCUUGUUCAGGUAGUAGGGGUUGCAAUUGUGUUGAUGACAUUGUUGCCGCUGCAUUGGUUAAGCAUUGAUUAAGCUAGAUGAUGUAAAAUGAUCAUAAAUGAUCAUUGUCCACUGCAAACAACAAAUAGUUCUUAGUUUUUUAUUGUCAAUUAGGUUUCUUAUUUAACUGAGGUAUUUAGGGGAUAUGGAGCAUGUUUUGGUGUGGGGAAAGAAAUAAUACAUUAAAGAGGAUUGCUUCUUUUCUUCCAACCUUUUUCUUUUUAUCAUUUCAUAGCUUUGAUGAUUUAUAUUUUUUUUUGUAAAUUUCACUGUAUUGUUUUCAUCUUUGCUUCUCUGUAUCUUGCUUUUGAAUUACGAAGAGGCUAUGAUGAUAAAUAAAAGUCAAUGAUGGAUUUGACCAAUCACCAUUUGGGCUUUUAAACACAAGAUUAUUUCUCCAUGGUGUUGGCAAGUCACAGAUUAUUAUGCAUUAGUAUGAAGCAUAAAGGCUUUAUGGUCUCUUUCAAUGCUCAGUUUUCCAAUCUUAAUAGGAUGAUGGCGAGGCAGUUUGGAUGGCCUUCAUGGCAACCACUACAGCCAUGUCUAUCUCUUAGGAUGGGAUUUGGGCAAGAGGAGGGAAGACCUAUGAUCUGUUAUUGUGAUUGACAAAAGAUGAAUCUGAGCCUCAUAUAUCUUAUUUUGUAAAGGAUCUUUUGAUUAUUUUUACUAUUUAAAUGUUUAAAAUCAUUUCAUGCUUGAUCAUGGGUUACUAUACAUGUUUCUCCUUUUUUCUCUUUUCUUGGUUCAAUUAUUUUAAAUAUACUCAUGGUAUAUUUGCUAAAGUGGUGUUAAUUUUUCUGAGAAUUGUUUUGAUGUAGACAAUACAAAAAAAAUAUUUUUCAACCAAAAUGACAUUUUUAAAUAUUAACAAGUUUGGUAUGCUUUCAUAAUUUUGUUUCAAGUUUUUUUUUGUUCAUAUGAGAUUUGGAUCACUUUAAGCUUCUAUGAGAAGCUUACAUGUUAUCUUCAACAUUAUGUUAAUUUUGGUACUUUUAAGAAUUAUUAUCAGUUGUUAAAAAUCAAUUGAGGAAAAAAAUAUGGUAAUGUGAUAAUUGGUCCAGUUAAAGAAAGUUUUUGUGUUUUGCUACAACAAACUGUAUUUGGUGGGAACUUUGUAUAGGUACAAUCUAGGGUUAGAAACUUAGAAGGUUUUCAUUUUUGAAUGAAGAGAUCCUUUUUGCUCACAUUGUCAUGGAUUUCUGAUUGCAAAACACUCUCAUGUCCAAGUAAAUCAUUAUUGUUUGAAGCAAUGAAGCAUCUAGGGGAGUGCAUGUGGUUAUUGGGGCUGUUCUUGCCAUGUCCGAUAAAUUGUUUCCUAUCUUUGUUGUCGUGCUAUUGUUUGUACUUGUCUGUUAUUCAGGGCUUAAAUCCUAUGCCCCAUAAUGCAUAUGAUUCUUUGUACCAUUUGUGCAAAUGCUUGUUCAGGUAGUAGGGGUUGCAAUUGUGUUGAUGACAUUGUUGCCCCUGCAUUGGUUAAGCAUUGAUUAAUCUAGAUGAUGUAAAAUGAUCAUAAAUGAUCAUUGUCUGCUGCAAACAACAAAUAGUUCUUAGUUUUUUAUUCUCAAUUAGGGUUCUUAUUUAACUGAGGUAUUUAGAGGAUAUGGAGCAUAUUUUGGUG
rnacentral:lncRNA from 1 species